CAAUUUCUAGCGAGCCAACCAGCCGCGGGCCAGCAGCCGAACCAGUGCAAAAGCCGGUAACCGGCACAACGCGCCAUACCAAAGCAAUCAGCCGAUUGGCUGGCCGCCCGCAGCUCGACCAAUCGCAAUGCGUCUUCGGUUGUCAGGUGGUGCCGCGUUCUCGCAGACACGAACGCCUGCUACAUCGGAAAAAGUUGGUUCCUGGCAAUUUUGACGACAUUACGGAUUUUAAGGAUACAAAGUUUAUAUCUAUGAUAUUGUCUCUUGCAACUAAAUCAAUUGAUCUUUCUUAUUGAAGUCUGCACGUGUAGGUUACUUCUUCUAUUCCUAGUAUAUACUUCCAAGCUAUAUCCCCAUUUUAUUGCAUUUUCCAGAAAAAUUCCAAACAAGAUGUGUAGGUCAAUAAAAAGCAAAGUGGCAAAGACAUGAAAUAACAGUUCUUAGAAGAACAUUUUCAUGAAACCGUAAAUCAUCUACGUUUAGCUCCGACUCAAGCAAGUGCACAUAAAUGGACCAUUAUACAUCGAAUUUUCCAUAUACAUACAUACUGUACAACACAUUUCAAACUAUGAAAAUACAUUAUGGUUGCCAACCAUUGUCAGUUCAUGAAAAUCAUCUGUGGAGUUUCUAUCGAAUUGUUGUUCUGCUAAAUGGACGCAUUUACACCUCUUCGAACACAAUAUGUACGAAGAUUGCUCGAAAUUAUCACCGGUGUAGAUAUAUCAACCUAACCCAACAAUUUUAAAGAACGACGUCUGCUACAAGUGCUUCGUGCAGUCAUACAAGCCGUACAACUUCGAUUUUUAAACUUAGUAUUUUAAGUUAUAUUUAGUAUUUUAUAUUCUAAAGCACAGGUAAUGCGAGUAAAAUAAUAGAUUGGUAAUAAAAGGCGGUAAAUAAAAGCAAUGGGAAGAAUUCAUAAUUUGUACUAAAUAUUAGCUUGGGAUUCUUGCACAAUAAUGUAAUAAUUAAUAAUAUUAAUAAGUCUACACACUAUGAGUUAUACACAUAGAGAUCAGAAAAAUCAACAAAAGAAGACAUAUCAUAUUUCUCUUCGUUUAUUAAUUUUAUCGUUUAUUUAUUAAUAUCAGGUAUUUUGUGGCUUGUAAAAAUUUCAUUAACAGCAAUAGUUUAAUUGUGCAAGACGACCCUGGAAAAAAACUUUGCUACAUUCUCAUUAAUCAAAAAUCAUCUAACAAUACCAACCCACGAAACACAAAUUACAGAGACGAAUCAUCUCGAGAGCCAUUAUUCGUAAUGUACGUGUGUUUUACUGAUUUCUGUCACUUCUUUCCCUUCCAUUUUCGCCUGUUUUCUUCUUCACCUUCGCGUCUGGCCGAAAUAGGUCACGGUGCAAAGCAAAGGAGCAAGAUGGGACGGGACGGCAGCGACAUGGAGAAAAGCCAGCCGAGGACGAGGAUCACGCGCGUUGAGUACGUGCCUUGCAUCCGGAGGCGCGUUGCGUUCCGUUCGCCAUUGCCUGAUUAACUCGACGUCAUUUAUCAGAUUAAAUGGAUAAUGCUGGUUAGCGUCUGACGUAACGCCGCACUCCCAAGAACCGCCGUUUCUCAAAGAUUCUUUAUUAUCUUACUGGUCUGCCUAUGGACACACCAACGUUACGCAAUCGAACAAGCCGCUGAAAUUGGAUGCGAACAAUCGGCCGUGUUAACGAGUUCAUUGUGUUUCUGUCCAAAACGCGAUACUAGCUGGGUGGCCCUGCUGUUAUGUAACCUAACUAUAGCUAUCUAUCGAGUUUAAUAAACGAAGGAAGAAAAUUAAAUUUAGGAUAAAAAUGAAUUUCUUAGAAACACGUUAUCAAAUUUUAUGACACCAUCGUCAUUGUAGAUAUUGAACACUUGUAAUUGUUUGUACACUAGGCAAAAUUGAGUAUAAUACAGUGCCAAAGCGAAGCAUGAUAAACUCUCACAUGGCACAUCCAAAAGGUCGGCUUCAACGACGAAAUCACAGUCAUCUCGCUGCGAACGCACAGUUUAACCGGUAAUUAGAGUUUACGGCAGCCACGUUGAUUAGGUCGUUAAAGAAACUAUUACGCCGACUAAAUACAGUCUAGGCACUCCCACUAGUCUCCGCUGAAUUGCAAUUUGAUGCAGUAGAUAAAAAAUAGAAAAUGAAGAAUUGGAGGAAUAUGCAUCUUUUAUUCGUAAAAAGCAAACUAAGAUCUUUAAAUAUAUAAAUUUUCUACAAUUGCAAUUAACGAAUGAAAGAAAUGAAAUGUUUACAGGAUUAUAAAUUCUUUGUAAAAAUUUAAUAUCCUUAAA